AAAUCAAGUUAAAGACCUAAAGUCAUCCCUUUUUGAUGUUUGCCCCUCUCCGCCGCCAUCACUACGAACCACCACUGGAAAUCGUUCCCAUCGUCCGCUGCUCAUCUACCACCUGUUGGCCACCGGCAGAAAAUCGCCUCCACUGGCCGAAGUCAACCAAAUGACCUCAAAUCACCAUUUUUCUUCUCCUCUCCUAUCCUCUCCUCUCCCUCUACACUCUCAUAACAAGAUCAAGUCCAAAUUCCUACUUUAUCAUCGCCCUCAUCAAAAUCCUAAACGUUUGGCCCUUCCUUGAUUUCACCAACUUUCUUGAGACAAUAAACCUCAAUACUUACCCUAUUAGAUAGGUCUCAAAAAGAUCCAUCUAUUUGUGUAGGUAUUUGGUCAUUCCAUCAUCUUUAGCACCGGUCAACUUGUCAUUCACCGGUUAAAUCGACUUGUAUACGUCCUCAUUUCCUUCGUCGGACUCCCAUGAGUCUUUUCUUUCAAGAAGAUCCAACCGGAAUUCAAUUUCGAGCCGGAUCUCUUGGAGGAAAAGACUUUGGUGGUUGGAAUUGAUACAGCAGGCAUCACUGGCUUCUCCUUGUUUCUUGUUACUUAGGAGUUGAAAUCUGAAAAUCAGUGUCUUCAUGUUACUUGGGGUUGUAAGUUUGAACAAUAUACGAGGAACUGGACUCGAGGCUGCUCACUACCGAAUUUUUCAUUUAACGUUUGAAGUCGAGGUCUGAAUGAGAAUCUGGACAUCUAAUUCGGAAGCAUGAGUAGUACUUUAAUCGUUUGAAACCUUAUAACACUAUGAAAUCUCAGAAUGCAAAGCAUUAGUUUAAGGAUCAGAUGUUGGUAAAAGUUUCAAAUCACGUUGGAUGUAAUGAAUUAGAGCUGUAAUUUCGAAUUUAAUUGAUCAUGUAUUAACGUUUUUGAGAAUAGUUCUGUAGUUGAUUUUAAAUUUGAACAAAUCAUGUGUUUAUUUUGAAAAGUAUGUAAUUAUCCCCACUUUAUCAUGUUGUAUGUUAAUCCUAUUUGAACUUUGAA